CAAGUAUAGUAGUAGUAAUAUUAUAACAACACAAGGUAAAGCGCAAAGGUGCAUUAUCGCUCCAUUCAUUGAAACCAUCAAUAUAAAAAUUGUUCAACUGUGACAUAUCGUGAUCAAAUGUCAGUAAAUAGUCAAUUACAGAACAACCGUUAUGUGAUAAAAACGUAUGGUGGUUUGUAUAAGCUAGCCCCCCAUUCAUUAAACGCAAACCGGACGCUUAACACAAAUCUAAUAAUUUGACACCGUGACUGUUAACUGUGUGGUCCAAUGAGAUAUACCUUGGAGAUAGCGACAUUAUUCUUUCACAUGACACACCGUCCAAUGAUUACGAACAAAUCUACUGAGUCAUUUUAAAAUCUAACAAUGAAUGACAUAGUUACGGCCCGGACAAGAUCAUUUAUGGCCAUUUCCGACCUUUGAACUCAAAGUGUGACCUCGACCUUGGAGAUAUCGACGUAAUUCUUUCGCAAGACACACCGUCUAAUGAUUGUGAACAAAUUUACAAUCAUUUUUUAAUCUCACAAUGAAUGACAUAGUUAUGGCCCGGACAACCUUAGAUAUGGCCAUUUUUGACCUUUGAGCACAAAGUGCGACCUUGACCUUGGAGAUAUCGACGUAAUUCGGUUGCAUGACACACCGUUCAAUGAUUGUGAACAAAUGUACCGAGUCAUUUUAAAAUCUGACCAUGAAUGACAUAGUUAUGGCCCGGACAAGAUCAUUUAUGGCCAUUUUGACCUUUGAACUCAAUGCAUGACAUUGACGCUUCAAAAAUUGACGUAUUUUUUUCGCAUGACACACCGUCCAAUGAUGGUGAACAAAUGUGCCUUAUGAUUAUAAAAUCUCGCAAUGAACAACAUAGUUAUGGCCCGGACAAGCUCAUUUAGAAUUGUUCCGACCACCCGCCCGUCCGCUGACAUACACCAAUCUAAUUACCAGUUUGUUCCUUCGGAAUCAUGAUUAAAAAUUUGGUAUACCAUACGCUUUAUCCAUCAAUAUACUUGUUUGAUUACAUGGAUUUGUCAUCAUAUUAAACAAUGUUUCAGUGAUAUAAAGUUGGCCAGCUCACAAGGCAAGGGUAGUCGAAGUGUGGACAUGCUUGAAUCAAAUGUAGGAUAUCCUGUCACAGAAUGAUUACGUGACCAAACCCCAUUUUAAUGAUUUUAAGGGCUGAGAAAUAACCUCUUUAUGUGCAAAACAGUCGUCCCAUCUCCUUGGGAUUUCAUAAAUAUGAUUUCAUGUUUUUUUUUUGCAAUAUUAAAUAGUAAAAACACAUCCUUGAAUUAUGAUUUCCCUCCUUCAAAAUGUCAUGUUCUUGUGCUUCUUCCACAGAGAUGAAAAUUGAGAAAUGUGUUACUAACUAUACAGUCUCAUUAUGGGAACACAGUUAUGGCCAAUAUUCUAAAUUCUUAUAUCAGUAUUAAGAUUUCUAGACAUUUCUUGUUUUGUGUUCAGCCUGAGCAUAUUAUAUUUCUCACAAUUGUCAUUAUACUUGUUGAAUGCCUCCUUUGCGUUUGAAACUGCUAUGAGCUAAUCAUAAUGUAUUUAAAGGGAUCUUUUCACGCUUUGGUAAAUUGACAAAAUUGAAAAAAGUUGUUUCAGAUUCGUAAUUUUUCGUUUUAGUUAUGAUAUUUGUGAGGAAACAGUAAUACCGAACAUUAACCAUGCUCUAAUAUAGCCAUUAUAUGCAUCUUUUGACGAUUUUAAAACCUAAAAAUUAUAAAGCGUUGCAACGCGAAACGAUUGAAUAAUUUGGAGAGUUCUGUUUUUGUCGUUAAAUUUUGUGAAACUACGAAGAUUGCUUAUAUAAGGUAUAAAAUACGGCAAGAAUGUGUACUCGGCGGAAUAGCUCAGUAGGCUAGAGCGUUUUUACUUCAGGACUCUGGCAGGACUCCAGGGGUCACUUGUUCAAAACCUGCUCCGGGCAAUGUUCUUUUCCUUUUUUUAAUUUUUUUCUUGAUUUUUUACUGGAGCUUUUACGAUCCAAUGUUUACAUUUAUCAAUAUAAAGCAUUUAAUGAAUAAGUUAAAAAAAAAUGCCAAAAUCUGUGAAAAGGCCCCUUUAACAAGGCCAUGUACUGCCUUUUAGCAAGAUGACAUGACAGAGUUUUUAACCCUCAUAAAAUAUUAAAAUCUUUCUAAAAUUGGGCUUGCAUGCAUGUUAAUUAUCCACCUAUCUUCAUUUCAAGAGUACUUUUCUCUAUGUGAAGCAUUUUUUAUUUAUAUUGGCAUAAUUUGCCAACCAUAGUUUUAAUAAAAAGUAUAAUUUAAGCUCUUAUAAGAACUGAAGUGAAUGUAAUAAAGUCUUCUUAUUUCUCAAUCCAUAGUGACUACGAAAUCUGAGAUACAGAUGUGUUAUCAAUUUAGUUUAGGGACACCAAGAUAAAACAAAAUGGUUGGCUUCGAGGUAAUAUUUUGAGACAGCAGAAGACGCUUUUAUCUUCAAUGAAGUGCUUCAUUUCAGGGUUUUUAUGUUUGAAAAUUUAUCAAAUCAAUUGCAAAAAUAACAGUUGAUAAAAAUUGUCGAGGUAGAGUUAUGAAAUCAAUAAAGUUAAAGCAGACAAUUUGCAAGAGAGUGCUUGUUAUCUCAAUUUAUCAUGUUUCAACCUAUUUUCAGAAAAUGGUUUGUCCCUUUGAAUUAUUAUCAGUGAAAUGUUGAGCAAAAUGUAAACCAGGUCUUUUUGUAACUUGAAGUAUUGAUAUGUACUUCAGAACAUAGUUAAACUGGCUUGUGGGCUUAAACAGUCAACAUAGUUUAUAUAUUUUCAAAGAUUUACGUUUAGAAUAUAGGUAAAUAUUCUAAUUAAAAACUGUGUGUGUCAUCAUAAAUACUCAUUCUGUUAAUAGGGAUUGGAUCAUAAUAACAGUGGAAAGAUAGCAUUUCAAAACAAAGGACAGUUUACAAUAUCUACUGCAACAUGGCGACAACUGUACAUUCAGGUCAUAAUAGUUCAGAUUUAGUGAAAGACUAUGUUUGUGGAGGUUGCGAAAGUAGAAACAUUUAUGAAAGUGCAGAUUAUUUCUGUGCAACGUGUGCAAAGUUUUUCUGCAGAAAAUGCAUUGAUCCUCAUAAUCAAAUAUAUGAAAACCAUUCCAAAUAUGGAAGAAGAGAAACUAAUAAAUGGCCUCUAACAAAGACUAUGGAGGAUUUGCUACUGAACUGUGAUGUCCACAAAGAGGAGAAACUGAAAAUGUUUUGUCAGGACCACAGUCAGUUGUGUUGCACUGAUUGUGUUUUACUUAUCCACAGACAGACGGACAGAAUUACAGAUGGAGGGAAUAACGGAAAACAGAAUGAUGGACUGACAGAAUGACUGACGGAAGGAAAACGCCAAUCUAUAUACCAUCACCUUUGGCGGGGAAUAAUAGCCCAGGAUUGUAAACCGGCCAAAAAAGCCAGUAUUCAGGAAUUGUUGGGACCUCCAGAAGUUUAACUGGUAUUUUCACACGGCUAAGGGACUUUUGCAGAGUUUACAGCAAUGAUAUCUUCUGCACUAAACAGUAUGGCGUCCUGUAUCUUCCUACUCAUCAUCUCAAUGCCAGUGAUGUACUCCCCUCGCUGUGACAGUCCAAACUUGACCAGUCUCAAGCCGUAGUCUCCACCAUCGAGCUCGAGGUGAACUGUCAUAUCGUCGGCUCCUUGCGAAAAUGUCGUAACUAGAAAAUCUUAACAUUUCAGGAGAAGGAAAAAACUUCAGUUCUUUUUUUAAAGCUGCUGAAAUUAGGAAAUAUUUGUCAAAUGGUCAUCAUUAGUAUUACUUAACGUAUUUUUAUGCUGGAAACUGCUGUAAUUUGCUUUGUAUUUAAAUAUAUCGAGAUACGAUAGUUUUUCAGAAACAACUAACACAAUUCAUACGAAACAUUAAGAUACUCCAGAUACGACAUUUUUUAAGGGGGUAUAUAUGAAGUUUUCCCUCGAGAUAUGUAAUUAUCCUUGCUACUUGAAUGCGUAUUUCCAUAUAUCUAUACCUUUAUGUUGAUAUCUGUCAGAUUGAAUCAUAGAUGUAUAUAAAUACAAACAAUCACAUUCUUAGCCGUUAUUUGACAUUAUUUGAUGUCAACAUACUCAUCACACUGACUGGGAAAUCGUUACUGCACAAAUGAACAUUUUUUGUGUGAUGAAUUAAAUCGUCAUAGAAAUAAAAGAAAACAUGUAAAUGUUAUUUAUUUUUAGAAGUGAAACAAUAAUUAUAAAAAAGCUUUUCGACUAUGAGAUAAAACAUUUUAAAAACA